AAACUCCGCAAUGCGCGCAAGCGUGACGGGGGGAUUCUGAGUGCUUCGGUUUCACCGAGGCUUUUCGUGAGGGUAAAGACCUCGCGGAAUAAGUGGUGGGCAAGACCGGUGCCAGCCGCCGCGGUAACCCCGGCGCCACAAGUGGGAACCACGAUUAUUGGGUCUAAAGCAUCCGUAGCCGGCUCGCUAAAUGCCUUGUGAAAUCGUUCUGCCUAACAGGACGGCGUGCAAGGUAGACUGGCGAGCUUGGGACCAGGAAAAGUAGGCGGUAUUCAAUGGGGAACGGUAAAAUGUUAUAAUCCAUUGAGGACCACCAAUGGCGAAGGCAGCCUACUAGAAUGGAUUCGACGGUGAGGGAUGAAAGCUAGGGGAGCGAUCCGGAUUAGAUACCCGAGUAGUCCUAGCCGUAAACGCUGCGUGCCAGAUGUUGCACCAUCCUCGAGAUGGUGCAGUGUCGCAACGAAGGUGUUAAGCACGCCACCUGGGAAGUACGGUCGCAAGGCUGAAACUUAA
rnacentral:rRNA from 1 species